UACGUAGGGGGCAAGCGUUGUCCGGAAUUAUUGGGCGUAAAGCGCGCGCAGGCGGUUCUUUAAGUCUGGUGUUUAAACCCGAGGCUCAGCUUCGGGUCGCACUGGAAACUGGGGGACUUGAGUGCAGAAGAGGAGAGUGGAAUUCCACGUGUAGCGGUGAAAUGCGUAGAUAUGUGGAGGAACACCAGUGGCGAAGGCGACUCUCUGGGCUGUAACUGACGCUGAGGCGCGAAAGCGUGGGGAGCAAACAGG
rnacentral:rRNA from 1 species